rnacentral:lncRNA from 13 species
AUGGGGCUAAUAGCCUACAUAGGCCUCUUCCUUCUGCUGCUAAUGUACCUACGUCUCAGUGUACCUGACGGCCAGGGAGCGGUGGACGGCUGCCCUCAGCGCAGUGUCCAUUCUCAGGCACAUAGCCAUAGGAUGCCUGGGGUGGCGCUGGACCUGGUGGUCUUCUGGAUGUUUGACCUGGUGCACUACCAAGCCCAGGGGGACAUCGUGGCCAGAGCACCCCAUCGUAUUGGCAGUGGAAGUAAAUGGCACAGGCAAUGCCCUGGACAUCUUCAAGGACAUAGCAGCUGCCUUCGCCAUUCUGCAGAAGGGCAGCAUCACUGUUCUCAGCAAGAAUUGUCUGAUGAAGCCUUCAGAGCCAGACCACUCAGGAUACAUGCUCAUAGGAGCGGGUGCAGCUCUUCCACAUGA